rnacentral:lncRNA from 1 species
UAAAGAGGUCAAGUGUGGAAACAGCAAGAAGGCUGCUGUCUGCAAGCCAAGAAGAGAGCCCUCGCCAGAAACCAAAUUAUCCAGACCCUGGAUAUUGGAUUUCCAGCCUCCAGAAUGAUACGGCUAAGACCGCAGGCAUGGUGGCAUGCAGCCGGUAGUCUCAGCUACUUGGAAGGCUGGAGCAGGAGGACCACUUGAACCCAGGAGAUCAAGACUGCACCCUUCCACAUCCAGAAUUAUAUUCUUGGGGAAAAAAGCAACACUCAGACAAAUGCUUGAAGAUAGGUAAGUUUGUUAAAGCCCUGAAAAUAUUUAAAAUGUCAGAUAAGGGAUGAGCUAAAAAUCGCAAUGUAUCUAACUGCGCUCGCUCUGUUGCUCAGGCUGGAGUACAAUGGCACAAUCAUGGCUCAUUGCAGCCUCAAACUCCCGGACUCAAGUGAUCGUCCCGCCUCAGUCUCCCAAGUAGCUGGGACUACAUGUGUGAGCCAUCUUGCCCAGACCAUAAGUGGACGAUUUUUUAAAGAAAGGUCUCCUUAUGCAGAAGCAAGCAAACAGCAAACCAGUAUGUACUACAUAGUUCGUUCUUGCCCAAAUCAUCCCCUAACCACCAAAACAGAAAGAUGAACCACAUUGAUUUAGCAAGAGUACAGGAGAAAGAUCUAGAAGACAUAGAUCCACUCCACAGUACUUUCUUCUAAGUGGGAAGGGAAUGGGGAAGGAGGAGGGGUGUGUGUGGGGGGGAACUUUUCCCUUACUUCAAUACAUCUUUGUGUGAUUUGAGAAAUAUGUCACUUUAGUAAUUCAAAGUAUUAAAAUAUAUUUUUAAAGUGUGUUUAUGUCCAACUGCUAUAAAACAAACCCCAAAACUACCUUUUGUCCUAUAUAGUGUUAAAGAGUAAAAUUUAUCGAAUUAUGAUAAUCUAAAAUUUAGCAGCAAGAAUUUAGAAAAAGACUUCAUUAGCUUUUUGUGUUGUUUCUAGAAGAGAAUGGGAAAUUAUCUGCAAGUGAACACUUCUAGUUUAUACACGUCCAAACUCAGCAAAUCAUAUAAAUUAAACAUGUGCAGGGACUUUUUGUGUAUUAUACCUCAAUAAAGCUAUACAAACAUUUUUCUUAGGCUAUCAGCUUUACUCUCUAGUAUUAAAACAGGUAGCAAAAGCCAUGUCUGUGGGAAUUUGGAUGACAGGACACAGAUGUGUGAAGAUAGGAAAGUGAUGUUUACUAUUAUUGGGCACACGAAUGACACAAGAUUCAUUCUAGCAAGGGAUACCUUAGGCAUAACCAGAGUUCCAGCUGUGUGUUCAGGGGUCUCAUGCGCAGAAAAACAGUCCUUUCCAUUUCCAUCCACUGCACAGCCAUAGCUGUAGCCAGAAAGAAGGUAAGAGCCGUGCUGUCGCGCAUACCAGUUGCCAUAGCGGUAACUCUGGCUGGGCUGGAACUCCUGCUUCACUCUAAUAGCAGAGGGGAGACUACAGGAAUGACAAUCAUCACAACCAACGCAGAAUCAUCCACAAACCCCCAAACCCUUUCUUCUUUCCAGGAAGUUUGCAGUAAGCUGAACACCUAUGUUCAAAGCCAUAGUUUGAUACCUAAUGUAGAUGACGGGUUGAUGGGUGCAGCAAACCACCAUGGCACGUGUAUACCUAUGUAAAAAACCUGCACGUUCUGCACAUGUACCCCAGAACUUUAAAAAAAAAAAAGCCAUAGUUUGUAAGUUACCAACAGUUAUGUAGCAAAUAGAACAGUA